GGUCGACCAUUUCCUGCAUGUCUUCCCCCAUUCUCUACUCCCCAAAUUUCCUGUCACUCUUCAGUUGUACUAUAUAAAAAAGGCCAAAAAUAUAACUUUAAGAAUAAUUAUAAUCUAUUAAUGCUUUAUUAAUCUGGUUAGAGUUAAGGAAGGCUUGAAUAAAAGGAACUCCUCAUACAUUACAGUUUAUGUGUUGAUACCCUGGAUAGAACUGAAUUUCAAUCUGAAGAAGCUCCUUGAAUGAGAAAUUAAACAGCUACAAGAACUUUUACAGAGUGUGCAGAAAGUCCAAUUGCCUUUUGGAUUAAGUUUAUGGUGGAGUCUUGUAUCAGCCUCUACGUGUGCCACACAUAGGCUGUGCCGCACAUAGGCUGUGCCGCAGAUAGUUCAAGCCAGAGGGUUCAUGGUUAAGUAAGAGGCAUACUCGGGGUACUUAAAUAAAGGUUCCAUCAAUGGAUAUUCUUAAUAAGUGCAACCAGGAAACAUGCAAAACAACAACAUGUGGACAAAUAAAAGAACUAUUCACAUGAGGAGCAGAGAAUAAAUAAACUAAUGACAGGAUAAAUCCAGGAGUAUCUAUGUUGGCGUACAUUAUCAAUUUCCAAUACUUGGUCCCAACCGUUCUCCCAAUACAGGUCGAGCAACCCUAAGUAUUGUGAAACAACACAGAGUGGAGGAACACUAUCUGUAGAUGGUCAAACUUCUUGCAGUACUUGAACGCAUCAAUGCAUAUAUGUGCUAUUUGUGGCGUAUUGAUCGCAUAUUAAAGGAAUUCACUUUAAUGCCGUCAACAGCACCGCUUUACCCCACCGCGGCUCUAACCCAUAGACUAUAUAAAAUAGCACUAACCACCUAGAUGACAGUUUCCCGCCAUUAAAGACAGCUUAAAUGGCGGGAAAAUGAGCCGUAACCCUCUUCACGAAACAGGCGUCUUCAGUUCUUGUGGAUUCCUUGAGACCUUCCCCCUUUUCUCUCAGCUGUGAACACAAGACCCAGAUUUGCUUCACUUUGGGACAUCCACCACAGACACAGGAUGCCACAUGCGCACCAGUGAUAUGAAGCCUGCAGCAACAGACCACUGGUCAAGUCCAUCACUAAGAUCGAACAACAUGCCUUCAUCUCUGCCAAAAGACUGCCUGACAUAUUGAGCUGGUGCAACCAAGCCAUGUGCAGAAGUGACCUGGCUGGUAGAACCAUGGGACUGACGCCACUCCCCUUCAGCUAACCAACCCACACGUUCAGCUUACAGAGAAAACAUAAGCGCUCACUCAGGUGGGUCCAGUCCACAGCAGAACAGAUUCUUCUGUGGGUUUGAAGCAGACACUCACCGUGAUGGAAAGUUCAAUGACUCUUGUGUUAGUGUU